ACAGUCAUUCCACUGGUCCUCAAGGACUCUGAAGGGAUCGAGGACCAUCUAGUCAUCACCAGGUCACCAGUUGGCACCUCAUAAACAAAGUUACCAGUCCAACAAAAAUCUGCCACGAUGUAUCCCACAUAAUCCUAACGCAACCCACUUUUAGCCAACGUGACGUAUGCUGACCAGUUCAUCUGGUGUUUUUUGAUGAUGGAAAACUUGUGACACCUACCAAACUGUACACUGCGGAAUAGUUUUAUUCCAAACAGCUGCCACCACACGUCCAAAACAACCGGUGACAGGUGACUCAUCUGAUUUUCCCACCAUGGUCUUUGUGUCCUGCAGGCUGUCACCAUCCCCUGCCUGGACCUAAACGGUGAUCCCAGCAGAAUAAUCAAGAUUGCACCUGAGGUGCCACACAGAGGUGUUGAGUAUUUAGUGAGCAGGUAGCAGUUCGCAUCUUUGAAGACAUCUGAAUGAAGGUGAAAAAGGAAUCUACUUCCAAUCAUGUGAAGCUGAACUGGAAGUCGUGAGCCGGCACAGGCUUAUUUCAACGUCAAGUACAAAAAAUCUGAAGGCUAAAGCUUCAACUGCUAAAAAUAUCCACCUCCACACUUCCCGUUGACAAGCGCUUCACCUUGAACCUACUGAGGUAAACGCUGUCUGUAAAGCUCUGUCAAGCUUUGAAGAAGCAGAUGGUGGAUGCACUCAAUCUGUAAUUAAAAAAAAAACAAAAAACAAUUGUUGUUAACCAAACAGUCAUCUGCUGUAUGUUUAAUUUCCAUUGUCUGUGCUGUAACUAAUACUCCUCUGAUUUUCUUGCUUUUAA